UUUAUCACUAUUAUUGUAAGUGUUGGAGUGGGCUAGUAAUGCAUUCGGGGGUAAUCUUAAUUUCUAAGUAGUAAUAUAUGUGGUAAGGUGGGUGAUGUAAUCUUUCCUCAUUGACAUGUGGUUGUCAUCCACAAUAGCCUAUUAGAACCUGUCUUUCCGGGUAUUUAAGGCUGGAGUUAUGCCACCUGGUGUACGUCACUGCUGGGACCGCACCUAUGGAGUGCGAGUGUAUAGAUGCGCGUGGAAUGGCCAUUUGAUGCGUUGUGUUGGGUUACAGGCUGUCCACUAAAUGUCAGCUGUGAAAUUCUUCGGUGAAGGUGUCUUCCUGCAUGAGCUUCUAUGCUUGUUAUGAGUUGAGAGCAAUGGCACAAUUCGUGCGGCACAACGAUCUGUUUUGUGCACUGAGGUUUUUCUCUGACGCUGCGCUGGUUAGUCGCGGGAGAAGGCGGAAGUGUCUACACUCAGCGUUAAAAGAGUACGGCACUGCUGUUUUCUUUUGUUAUUUUCUCGUCUUUUGUGUUUCUUUCCUUUGUUUAAUUUAAAUAACAUUGUGUUAUUUUCCUGCUCUAUAUAUUUUGUUUCCUGUUUGUUUGUUGUAAAUAUAACAUUGUGAUAUUAUUUCUUUAUACAUAUUGUUUUCUUUUUAAGUUGAUGGAUGUAUUUUUAUUGUGUUAUGGAAUGUAAAAUUUUCUUUUGUGUUUGUUUUAGGCACUGUAGGGCGCGAGGCUGGGAGGCUAGCUGGUAGGGAGUACUGGUGAUGGUACAAUCGUGUGGAGUGCAGUGUUGUUUGGAUUCACGUUUUACUCUGUGUGAGUGUGUGUGCGUGGGAUGCCCUAGCGUACAGCAUAUUGUUUUCUUUUUAAGUUGAUGGAUGUAUUUUUAUUGUGUUAUGGAAUGUAAAAUUUUCUUUUGUUUGUUUUAGGCACUGUAGGGCCCGAGGCUGGGAGGCUA
rnacentral:lncRNA from 1 species